AAGUCCUGAGCGUUGAUUGGGAUCACAGGCAGGCCUUGACUAGGAGUUCACAUUUAUGUGGGUGGUGGUGACUUGAGGGCUGGUCUCACUCCUGUCAGGCAAACACUUUACCUACAGAGCCAUCCCUCAGCCCCCUUUUCUUUUUUCAAGACUGGCUUUGCUGUGCUAUCCAUGGUCAAACCACUGAGCUAUUUGUGCUCAUCCCCAGAGCUCUGCACCGCUCUCAGCCCUGGGGUACAGCUUUCUGCGGUGGAGAGAUCCCACUGUCCGGGUGCUGAGGGUGAGGGACUGUUGAGUGCUCAGCCAUGGAUGGGACAUCUCUAGACCUCUCCCCCACCAUCAAGGUUUAGGAAACACCCGAGGAAGUGGGUGUGGAAAGAAUGUACGAGCCGGAGGGUGAGGAGGAAAGCUGUGAAGUUCUGUCUUCUGGGUAUGGCAUGGCUGUUGCACACACAAGAUUGGCUGUGCACACAGGCUCACAGCAGCUGUGGCUACCUGCACCAGAUCAAGCCAGUUCAACGGCUAUCAUGGGUGGGGGAGGGGAGUCGUUAGCUCAGGAGCUACUGGCAGUCAUUGGCUGCUGGGGAGGUGAGAGCUACUUCUCUUUAGGCAUGGUCACUUGUGGGUUGCCCGUGUCCCAGUAGAGGUCCCACACAUAUGGGUGCAUUAAUUGGACUCAAUGGGAUACAGACAGACAGACAGACAUGAAGCUGAGAGGAAGAUAUGCUAGGUGGGGCAAAAGGGGACUUGAAGGGGCCUGGAUAUGAUCAAGACAUAUUAUAUACAGCAGUAGACAUAUUAUAUACAGCAGUAGUUCUCAGCCUUCCUAACGCUGAGACCCUCCAGUACAGUUCCUCAUGCUGUGGUGAACCCCAACCACACAAUUAUCUUGUUGCUAUUUCAUAACUAAUUUUCACACUGUUUUGAAUUGUAAUGUAAAUAGCCGAUAUGCAACUCCUGAAGGGGUAUAACCUACAGGUUGAGAGUGGAAGCCAGACAGGAACUAAUACUGAGCAUUUAAGGAAUCUCUCGGGUGGGGCUGAUAGCACAACGAGAAUGUCCUGCUCUUUGCCGAGGACCUGAGUUCAGUUCCCAGUACCCACAUCAUGUGUAACUCUAACGCCGGGAUCUCAGAUACCUGCUUCUGGCCUCUGACAACAAUGUAGUCAUGUGCUCAUGCACACACAGAGACACAGCUAGACAGACAGACAGACAGACACACACACACACACAGGCACACAUAAGUACGUAAUUAAAAAUAAAAUCUUUACAAAAAAAUUAAGAAAACUUUCCUAUCGCAAGACCAGGAAUAUAUUCUCCCGGAAUUUAUUUGGUUAGAAUAGAGCAUCAAAAGUUCAAGGCUCACCCGCCUGUCCUACUUUCCUCCCAAUCUCCCUCCCUCCCUCCCUCCUGUUUUGGAUCGUGUCAGCUUUUCCCAUACCCUCGGUCGCAAACUCUGAAGGAAAUAAGAAAUGAACAUCACUUGGGCUCAUUCCCUGUUUAUUAUCAAAGUGAUUUUCACAAGUGUUUAAUUACAUGCAUCGGGGGAAACAUGGUAGAGAAAAGCUUUGAAUAUCUGAGCAGCUGGAAGGCAAACGAGGUUAUGUGGACAUUGGUCACUGUGCAUUAGGACUGCCACCCAGUGUCUGGACAGACUGCGAAUGUGUGGGGCCCCCGGGCCGAAGACUGAGGUGCAGGAGUGCAUCGGUCUCUUGAGCAGAGUGGAUGACUUCUGGAUGCACGUGGCUCUGACUUGGCGAAGCUUGUGGUUUCUGACAGAUCUGCUUAAAAGACCAGCUGCUUCCUGUUUGUGCUGACAGACCCUGUGCUUUUCUCAGGUGCGGGGCUGAGGGCCACGCGGUCUUCGCAGGCGUCGUAAGUGGUGGUGACAGUUCAUGUCUGGAUGGUGACUGGUCUGGAUGGAUCAAGAGGUGCCAAGUUUAUCCUUCCUCUGAAUGUGUGUUUGGAAAGGUGGAAUGUCACCAAAGUCAACGCUAACGCUUCCAGCUCCCCACUCUUCAUUAUGGCCACGUUACUUGGUCGCUCGGAGCUUCCAGUCAAGCCCUUUAUACUGGCAUGGCUGGGUGCAGGCUGGGGAAGGCCACAGCCAGCCGAGAGCCUACUGUUGAUGGUUGUCUAAACAAGGUGCUGGGGAGAGAGCACAGGCUCUGCCACAUCACCUGGACCCUGAGGAGUCCCCCACCUGAACCUUGACAGAGGUUUUGACUUCUUGAGUCCUGCCCUGAAGAGGAGCUCUUUGUGCCGUUUCUGUGUUUUUGCUCACAAGUCCUUCGGCCUCCGUCUGAAUGGCACCAGCCAGGCACUGCCCGCUUGAGCAGCAGGGCUGACCUAUAUCACUCUGCGCAUCUUUGGUGAAGUAGGUAAAUGUUUGCCAAGCUAGUCACACUUCCCAGUGCAAGAAGGACGCACCGGCCUCUAUCCUGGUCGCGCAGACGAGCAGAAGGCUGCUGUGCCAGGUAGGUUGUUUGUGACCUUGUUGUUCCCCAGUUAGUCUUUCUAGACAUCUGGCAUGCAGUAGGUACUCAGGAAAUGUUUGCUGAGUGACACAACUCAUUUUAGGCCCGUAUUUUUUCUGCUGAGGGGUGGGACGAGAGGAGACUCUGUAAGAUACACAGUUUCCACAUGUCACUUUAGGAUCCACCCAAGCUGGACCAGCCAGGGCCUCCUUCUGUAGAAGCCAGCGGUGGGCAUGCAGGCUCCCCAGUAAAGCUUUUGAACCGGGACUUCUAGGCAUGUAUUUCAUCUGUGUGCUCCAAACUAACAGACGGCAGGAGGGGAAGAGUGGCCAAUGUGUCCCUCCACCUUGGGCUGUAGUGUGCACUUGAGCAUGGGACCACUCAAAGUAGGGAGGCAGUUAGGAAAGACGGCCUUGGGGGAGCCAGGGUUUGGGAAAGUAGUCACCAGCGGUAGCUAGUGUGACAGGAGUUGGGUGCCACAGGCAGUACCCGCUGAUGGUGUUGCCUGAGAUUUGGGGAUGGAGUCAGGGUGAGAAGGGUGGUGUAGCCAUAACCACAGGGCUCUGUAACCAGUACAAGUGGCCAGGACAAUUAAAGGUCCCAUUCGGAGUGGGAGACGGUGCGCCUCACUGUUGCGCUGGCCUUCCGUGCAGGUCCAUCUCCUCCUUCGUGUGGGUAUUUCCAAGACAAGUACCAGGAGGUACUGAGGACACAGGGAGGCUUCCUGGCUGUUCUGCUGGAGUGCCUCCAAUUCCGGGUCCCACAUCAUGACCAUCUCCUGGAACCCGGGGAACAAGCUGGUGUUCCUCUCACCUCCAUAAAGGUCUUCAGGUUGCCUGGGUACGAAGCUCUACCAGGAGGGGACUGUGCACCAUGAAGCUGGAGGGAGAGACACAGGCCCCUCAGUCUUCGCCAGGUGCCAAGGUUUUGGUGAUUAUUUGGGGGUGGGGAUGAGAGAUACAAAAGGAUUCGGUCAUAAGCCUGAGGAGCCUGGUCUGCACUGUAUCUGCUCCUACCCGGGGGACACUGGGCAUGAUGUGGCCACAGUGGGGGUGGGCAUUCUGGAGAGAGGACAUAGUUGGGUUUGUUAAUGGGUACACAGGUGGCAACUGCCAAAAACCACUCAGGGGUUGUAGGCAAGACUUAAGGUGAAUGUGAGGACUCUUUCUGAUGUUUUUGGUUUUGGGAGAUUAAAAACUAAACUUGAUGCCCUUAAGUGGGUUAAUUUGAUAUGCCAACUUAACCGGGCAGGGCUGAGCCCCCAAAUGCUUCUUGUGAUGUGGUAGGGCAGUGACCCACAUAGUGUUCCUGGCUCAGGCCUUCAAACUAUCUACACAGAUACUCAGUGUCUCUGGUUUGAACACUGCCGGCUUUCCUGUUUGCCAACUUGCAGAUGACACCUUGUAUCACUUCUUGGCCGCUAUAACUUUUGAACUGAUUCCUGUAAUUCCUUCUUAGUGUGCCUCCGUAUGUGUCCUUGUUUGCGUGGUUUCCCUGGAGACAGUAAGUGUUGCUGCAUUCAUUCUGCGGGACUGAGGAGGACCAGUGGCCCGACUGAAGAUGAAGAGAGCUUCUCCCUGGCACAGCUGGGCUGCAGGGCUUGUAAACUGCAGAGGCAGCCGGCCCUGACCUUUCUACCAGACGAAGAAAGUCCACCUGCCAUGCUCCACGAAAGAGUGAUGGCCACUGGUGAUCCCUUCUGCCUUGUGGCCCCAUGUGGUAACCAUAGCUUCUCCCUGAGUUCCAAGCCUGUGUUCAGAUGUGCUCUGUCAUCAAGCUGUGGUUCUCCAGGCCUGGCUUGCCGGCUCACACAUCUUCAGUCUUCCGUGAGCCACAUGUGUUUUCCGGAACAGUACAUUUAUGCCAUCAGGCUGGCUGGGCUGGAGACCAGGAAACCUUGGAGUUCAUUUUGAGAUUUCCCCCAUGUUCCUCCAAGUUCUAAUAUCCAUUAAUUUGAAGAAUACAGACCAGUUUCUACGUGUAUCUGACAGCUGGCAGCAAGCCAUCUGAGGCACAGGCAAGGCCUCUGUGUGAUGGGGUGACUCCCCAGCCAGUGGGAUGCCGUGUAGCCUGGCCACACAAGGCUUCCUCUCUUUAAGAGACUGGGAGGCGUCAGGGAGGCUCCUAAUAGCCUCUGCCUUGGAGGCCUCCUCUCCCGGAACUUGCUUUCUCCUCCUGUUGCAGUAAAGAGUGGGGGCUGCUCUGAAGACAGCCUGCACAUCCCUGAGGAAGGCCUUGUUUCUGGUGACCUGCACGCACAGUGCAGAGUCAGUGAGCGCUAGGACCCACAGUGGGUGGGGGUGCUUUCCACUGUGUUCUGUUGACAGUGGUGAUGUUGCUUGUGAAGCACCCUCCCCCCCGCACCCCGUCAAUGCUUCAACACAACACCUAGUCCAGUCCUCAACAAGUCACAUUCAACGGCA